AAAAAAAAAAAAAAAAGGAAAAUAGCCAGAUCAAUUGCUCAUUGUAUUUGUAUUUCAAAUACUCAGACAGUUGGGGACCUAUGAUUAAAUUGGAUUGAAUCAAACUACUCUCCUUUCAUGUAUGUCCAAAAAUUGAUUUCAAUUCCUGAGAUAUUUAUCUUUAAUUUCCUUUUCUGAGCUUGAAUGUGUAAGAAAUUUGCAUGAUCAAUAAUUGUGGUAUGCCUUCUUACUGAUAAUCUAGGGUUUUCUCAGGUAUCACUCCCUUUGUGCGUUU
rnacentral:misc_RNA from 1 species